rnacentral:rRNA from 1 species
UACGGGGGGGGCUAGCGUUGUUCGGAAUUACUGGGCGUAAAGGGCGCGUAGGCGGUCUAUUAAGUUGGAUGUGAAAACUCUGGGCUUAACCCAGAGCCUGCAUUCAAAACUGAUAGGCUGGAGUUCUGGAGGGGAUAGCGGAAUUCCUGGUGUAGCGGUGAAAUGCGUAGAUAUCAGGAGGAACACCGGUGGCGAAGGCGGCUAUCUGGGCCGGUACUGACGCUGAGGAGCGAAAGCGUGGGUAGCAAACAGG